rnacentral:lncRNA from 8 species
AUCAGCUGUUAAAGACAAAUAGCUACAGACAACAAAAAUAGUGACUGAUAAAUUAUUCUGAAUGUUCCUCUGCAACAUUAGCCACACUUUCCAUAUGAGACUGGUUUCUGCUAUCUGUGGUUUUCCUGUGAACAAACUCCAUGUCUACUUCUCUAUUCAAACAAUCCUCUCUGACACAGUCACCUUCUUCUGUGAAGUCAGACUAACAGUUUGUAGACGUCUGAUAAAUGGCAUUGUUCGUCCCUGAUAUGGCUGGUCAUCUGUUUUUGGUAAUCCUCCUUUUCGUCACCUUCCAACACAUCGAAGCCCAAGGUCAUUAUCCAAAACCAGAUAUUACAGUCAUUUCUGAUGUGUACUUCAGCGUCUUGUGUUUGAUUCCUGGAUCCGUCAGUCCUGACACCACCUGUAACCUGUAUGUUGGAGAGGAGAGUCAGCCAUCCUUCACAGCAAAGAUCAAGAAGAGACAAUCCACCUCAGCACCCAGACAGGAGUUCUGUCAAUUCACUCCAAAACAUAGUGAUCUGAUCAGUCGUCUUCAGUCAGUGAGGAGUAAGGAGGUGAGCUGUGACUACAGAGUGAGCUCAGGACCAAACUCUCUCUCUCCACACAGUGAUGGGUACAGCUUUACAGAUCUGGUGGGAGUUUACAUUAGUUAUCCAACAACUAAACCCCUUCCAACAGGUAGGCUACACAUUAGUUUUGUUUCUUCUUUUAAAUGUACUUUGUGGUGCUUCUUAGGGCUGUGGAGGUCUCAACAUUUCGUCAGCCGGUGA